AAUAUGUUGAUGCCAAUUCCAAUCGACACUAACCCUAAAACUAAUCCACUCCAAUUAUAAUAAUGUUAUACAGUCCACUGAAAUUAUAAUUUUGAUUUAUAUGUUUACUCAACUAUCAUUUAAUGUCUAGGGUUGGAGUUGUAACCUGUCAGGCUCCAACUAUGGCCACAACGAAAGUUACUCAUGUAAUGCUAAAUUCCGGCCAACUGAUACCGACAAUAGGCUUCGGUACCGGAGCACUACCUAUGCCACCGCCUGAACAACUAACAUCCAUAUUUAUCGAAGCCAUCGAGGCCGGCUAUCGCCACUUUGACACGGCAGCCUCCUAUGGCACGGAGGAGUGCGUAGGCCGAGCAGUGGCUGCGGCACUGGACCGUGGCCUAAUCAAGAGCCGGAACGAAGUGUUUGUCACUUCUAAAUUGUCAAUAUAUGAUACUCACCAUGAUCUUGUUUUGCCUGCCCUCAAAGAAACGCUCAGGUACUCGUAUUUUCAUUCCUUUUUUCACCAAUGAAUUGAAUCCCAUAAUAAAUAUUAACUUCAGAUAAUAAGAAUCCCUUACAAUAACAGUUAUACAAUAUAGGGUUUGCAAUUACAUUUGAAAGAAUCAGAAAAUUACAGGGAAGAAGUUUGUUACAAUUCAUGCCCCGUGGAGGAACCGGAAGUGGGAUGGACUACAUGGUCCGCGCCUUACUUCCCGAAAACUCCGAUGAGGCAGGAGAAGGGCCGGUCCGUUACCAUCCGCAGAAUUUACGGAUAUGUGGAUCUAUUGCUGCAAUCAAUUCCAAGAAUAAAGGGCGAAUUACCAAAUAGCUUUGAUUCUGAUGCUGUGUAGUUCUUCUGGUAUAAAUUGUUGGGAAAUUAAAAAAAAGAUAUCAUCAAAAUAUGUGGUUAGCCCGGCUUGUAAUCGCAAUUUUAUGUGGAAACCAGAAGGAAUACACAGCAGGGCAGCAGCCUUAUUCCUUAACUAGCUGCAGUAUUUUAUCAUGUAACAAACUGAUAAGGUUGGACUCAAAUUAAAUUUUGUUUCUAAAAAUUUUGUAAACAACUAAUUCUAGAACCAAGAUAACAAAGGGCCAGAACUACGUCUCUUGUAAGCCUAAUAUAGGAUUAUUUAUUUAUUUAUUAUUUAUUUUUUUUAAUGAAGUUUUAAUUGACAUAUGUUGUAGGAAACUGGGGCAUUCAUUUUUUGUUGCCAAAUUGAAAAAUCUCAUUUUCAAUUGAAAAUUUGAACUUCGAAAUGUGAAGACGUUUUGCAGAAAAAAACCAAAGUGCACAAAUAGGUUACACAAAAUAAUCCUAAAGUCGCAAUAUACACAUUUCUAAAUUCUCAAGGUUUCAUAAGAUUCGUAAUUUUAAAUCAAGGAAAUUUUUAAACUUGUCAAGUCUAGAUGUUCUAACAGAAUAUUCAAUGCAACUCAAAGGUAUGUCAACAAAAAAAAUAAAAAAAUAAAAAAAAUAAUAAAAAAAAUUCAACUUCUCAUGCAAUGUAGUCUCACAUAGUGACUAGAUGGUAACUAAAGCACAAAAGCAAUUACCAACUUGCAGCUAAAUUAACACUUUAUAUAGAGCAAAUAAUUCCUAAACUUUUAGCAUAAACAAUGUUACCCACACAGUAACCACAAUCCUAAUGCCAUCCCACAUGAUGACGCGCUAAUGUUGAAAUUUGAAUUGAGAUAAACCAAUAUACUAAAACGGACCAAUCUGAGUCUAUAAAUUACGAGAGAUGCGAAUCUAUCACGUUAGGACCACCACUAUUUGUCCUCAAGCCUCCAGCAAUCGCAUGAAUCAAUCACCACAAUCAAAUUUCGAUCGUGCGAAGAAUAGAGUCAUCCAUAUUACGCUCUAUAACCUGAAACAGUAAACUAACAACACUAAAAUGUCAGAAAUGAUGCUAGGAAUAAACUGCCUGAAGAUACCUCUUCGAGAUUCGGCCCUACGCCCCUCAUGCGCCUUUAACCCUCUUUGCGCGUGGGCUUCACAAGCUGCCACACACGCCAGCAAUCAAUCUCACGACCAGUAACCAUAGUGCGCCUCUACCUGCACGUCACGUCGAUGGUCUCUGUUUCACCAAACGCCUUUUGGAUUUGCCGAAAAUCGUGAAAAUAAUCUCAAUUUUUGGGCAGUUUUGGACAGAUUACGAUCUGAGUUUUUUGCUUCGUUUCUGUCAGUUUCCUGGAUGUUUUUUUUGUAUGUUUCACAAGCCAAAUCCACCACCUUGAAGCUCUGAUACCAAUUGUCACGGAAGCUUGCUCCAAGGAUAAUCAAAACAGUGUUUUGGGGGCUCAGUACAAUGUUACAUUUCUUUACCAAAUAAUCAAUUCAACCGGCUCCAAUCCAUAAUCUAUAUAUUCAUCUCGAUUACUUCUCAAUCUCACCCAAAGAACAAGACAGUGGUCAUGAUUUGUAACCAAGAAAACAUCACAAAGAAGGUAAGGAAGAGACCACAAACACGAAGUUAAUCACUAGUUUUUUGGACACAAAGGCAACCGAUUUCUCUCUUCUAUGGCAGCUAAUUUUUUCUCCUCUUCACAUAUACAAAUCAUCAACAGCUAGGGCAAGAAAGGGGGCUAUAUAUAUAGGCUAGAUUAGGCUUUUAGUUGGACCAAUAACAAGAUUAAAUGAAUCAAGAUUCAAAGUCAUCCAAGAGAUAAUAUGAAUGGGUCGAGUAGAGUCUUUAAACUUGAUUGUUGGUACUUAUUUAAUCAUCAGCCAAGACCUAUGAUAUGUAUAUUCCUAGAUUAAUAUCAUAGUCCAGGAUUUAUUGUGUAUGAAAACCAAACAAUUUUUUAUACUAAAAAUUUCAAAUUCAUAUAACAACUUUACUAGAACGGUUUUCAUGGCUGUAAGUUAUAUAAAAACAUAUUAUUCUCUUCUUCUAGUCAAUUGUUUUUCGAUAAUUUUCAUGUGCGGUCAUUGAACUUAUAGCCAAAUUGCAAUUGGAUCACUAAACUUUAAUUGGCUUAAUUUAGUUCCCUAAACUUCAAUUCAAUUCCAAAUUUCACCAUUUUCAUAUUUAGUCACCUAUAUUCCCCCAAAAAUAACAAAAAUUGCUCAGGGAAAGUCAAAUCAUACAUGAUUUUUCAUGUCAUCGUGAUGUGGCACCCUAGAAUCGAAAAUGGUCUAAGGAAUGUUAUGACAAUUUUUUUUAGAUUAAAAGAGGCAAUUUUAUUUAUUUAUUUAAAAAAAAAAGCAAUUGCAUUGUGAGAAAUUAAAAACUCCAUGCAGCAUGCAGAAAAUCUCGUUGUAACAUUCUAUCGAGAUAACAAUUUCGAUGAAUUUAGGAUCGUUGAUGAGAUUCAAACAUAAUUUGAAAUUGAAUGACCUAAUCGAGUUCCGUGACUCAAUUGAGACUUGGCCGAAAUAUCGGUGUUCGCAUAAGAAAAUGGACCCAUUAUGUUUCUGACACUAAAAAGACAACCACUGUCCUUCCUGUCUUCUAAUGGCCUAAAAAACCAAAUAUGUUGAUGCCAAUUCCAAUCGACACUAACCCUAAAACUAAUCCACUCCAAUUAUAAUAAUGUUAUACAGUCCACUGAAAUUAUAAUUUUGAUUUAUAUGUUUACUCAACUAUCAUUUAAUGUCUAGGGUUGGAGUUGUAACCUGUCAGGCUCCAACUAUGGCCACAACGAAAGUUACUCAUGUAAUGCUAAAUUCCGGCCAACUGAUACCGACAAUAGGCUUCGGUACCGGAGCACUACCUAUGCCACCGCCUGAACAACUAACAUCCAUAUUUAUCGAAGCCAUCGAGGCCGGCUAUCGCCACUUUGACACGGCAGCCUCCUAUGGCACGGAGGAGUGCGUAGGCCGAGCAGUGGCUGCGGCACUGGACCGUGGCCUAAUCAAGAGCCGGAACGAAGUGUUUGUCACUUCUAAAUUGUCAAUAUAUGAUACUCACCAUGAUCUUGUUUUGCCUGCCCUCAAAGAAACGCUCAGGUACUCGUAUUUUCAUUCCUUUUUUCACCAAUGAAUUGAAUCCCAUAAUAAAUAUUAACUUCAGAUAAUAAGAAUCCCUUACAAUAACAGUUAUACAAUAUAGGGUUUGCAAUUACAUUUGAAAGAAUCAGAAAAUUACAGGGAAGAAGUUUGUUACAAUUCAUGCCCCGUGGAGGAACCGGAAGUGGGAUGGACUACAUGGUCCGCGCCUUACUUCCCGAAAACUCCGAUGAGGCAGGAGAAGGGCCGGUCCGUUACCAUCCGCAGAAUUUACGGAUAUGUGGAUCUAUUGCUGCAAUCAAUUCCAAGAAUAAAGGGCGAAUUACCAAAUAGCUUUGAUUCUGAUGCUGUGUAGUUCUUCUGGUAUAAAUUGUUGGGAAAUUAAAAAAAAGAUAUCAUCAAAAUAUGUGGUUAGCCCGGCUUGUAAUCGCAAUUUUAUGUGGAAACCAGAAGGAAUACACAGCAGGGCAGCAGCCUUAUUCCUUAACUAGCUGCAGUAUUUUAUCAUGUAACAAACUGAUAAGGUUGGACUCAAAUUAAAUUUUGUUUCUAAAAAUUUUGUAAACAACUAAUUCUAGAACCAAGAUAACAAAGGGCCAGAACUACGUCUCUUGUAAGCCUAAUAUAGGAUUAUUUAUUUAUUUAUUAUUUAUUUUUUUUAAUGAAGUUUUAAUUGACAUAUGUUGUAGGAAACUGGGGUUAGAAUAUGUGGACCUUUACCUCGUACACUGGCCGAUAAUGAUUAAGAAGAGUGCCAACACCACUUUGACACGGCAGCCUCCUACGACAUAGAGGAGUACGUUUGCCGAGCGGUAGCAAGAGCACUCAACAGUGGGCUCAUCAAGAACGGUGAAAAAGUGUUUGUCACUUGUAAGUUGUUGUGGAAAGAUACGCGAAGAUCUUGUUUUCCCAAAGGCGAAAGCUUGUUUUUCCAGAUGGGCAGUACAAAUAUGCCCUUAAAUCCCUAAAAAAUGUAUCCAAAUCAAAUUAAUCAUCAGGGAUAUCACUGAGGGAGCAAAAGAAUAAUAUCACUCUUGACAUUGUUGGGGACAGUGGCGGAUCCAGCACCUGGCGAGCCCCCGCGGCCGCCCGUGCUGGAUUCGCCGGGAGCUUCAGUGGCUGCCGGGUUGGUGGCAGCCGCGUAGGCGCAGCAGAUGGAGAUUUGCAGAAGAAGCCGAACAGGAGUCUGUGAUGCUGGAGAAGAAGACUUCAAAUUUCCAAAAUUUUUCUAUUCGUUUGGGCUUAUCUGCCAGAGAUUGGGCCAUUUUAAAAAAAAAGUUAGGCCCAAAUUAAUAAGGAUAUUGAAUCCGGCAACAAAGUCCAUGGACCAUGGUAUGAAUUUGAUUUCUCAUUCCCCCAACCCAAAUUUGAUUUCUCAUUUCCUCCAUUUGAAACCGACAGGCGAGUCAGGCGACAGCAAAGUUCAAACAGCAAACCCUGAAAUUUCCAUUUGAAGCAGAGCUGCAGAACAACAGAAUUAGCAGCUGGAGGCAGUGGACGGUUUGGCGGUGUCAUGGUGUGCGAAGUCAGACUCUCAGAAUCAGGGGCGAGGCCACGGCCGCGAGGCGACGAUCUGGUGAGUUGAAAUUUGAAUAACUUGAAGUGUUGAAUGCUUGAAGUCUUGCUUGAGUACUGCAAUUUGCAAACCCUUUGUUGAUUUGUCGAUUUGUGCAAACCCUUUGUUGAUUUGUCGCUUUGCAAUUCAACAAUUCAAAUUGAUUUGUCGAUUUGUGCUUGUGCAACUGCAAUUUGCAAAUCCUUUGUUGUCUAUUGAGUGUGUUGUGAAUGAAAUGAAGUAUGGUUUUACUUUCACCAUUUGGAUUGCUCAACAAGGUGGAUUAUUAAAAAAAAAAAAAAAGUUGGGUGUAAUAGGUGACUCUAGAAUGGUUUAUUUGGAUUUGAGAGUUGGAGAGUGGAUCCCAAAUUAGAAUAGUUUCAUACUCUCUCAACCAGUUUAUUGGUCUUCUUUUGCUUUAAAUAAAUUCCUUUUAUUUGAUAUGAGCCCAAUGGCAAAAUGAUAAAGAUGGAACUUUAUCUUACGCGGCAAGCCAAAAAAGCACAAAACUCGUCUUUUGCUGCAUGUGGUUCUUAAUGUGGUUCUUUCAUUAAUCUUUAAAGUAUUAAUUGCUUUGCUAUGACAAAAGUCAACACACUGUAUAAUCUCUACUCGGUGUGGAGAUUUCUAAGUCCCUACCCUAACGUAUUGUAUAACUCAGGCCAUAAGAUUCCAUAAAUAGGCUAUGGAACAGCGACAAAUCGCAACAACGGACAUCCAUCUUCUUGGAUUCCAUUGAGGUUGGCUGCCACCACUUUGACACGGCAGCCUCCUACGACAUAGAGGAGUACGUUUGCCGAGCGGUAGCAAGAGCACUCAACAGUGGGCUCAUCAAGAACGGUGAAAAAGUGUUUGUCACUUGUAAGUUGUUGUGGAAAGAUACGCGAAGAUCUUGUUUUCCCAAAGGCGAAAGCUUGUUUUUCCAGAUGGGCAGUACAAAUAUGCCCUUAAAUCCCUAAAAAAUGUAUCCAAAUCAAAUUAAUCAUCAGGGAUAUCACUGAGGGAGCAAAAGAAUAAUAUCACUCUUGACAUUGUUGGGGUCUUGGGGAAAUACUUUUCUGAUAUAAUCAACCAUAUGAAAAAGAUAUGUACAGUCAAUAGUUAUCUUCAAUAAAUCCUACACAGAUAUUCAUGCCCAGGCCCUACUAAGGUGACGAAAAGAUUGAAGUCAAAUUCUUACAAAGUUUUCUACACGCAAAUAUCUAAUCACUCAAAGAAAUAUCUUUAGCGUUACAGCAGCUCAAGAUUCAAAUUGUAACUUUGAAUUAAACUUAAAAACAAAAAACAAAAAACAAAAAAUCAAAAGUAUAUAACUGUUCAUCUUCUCUUUCCCACCCCCACUGUUCACCAUCUCCUUGAUACUCGAUCCCAAAUUAAUCCAACGCCACCGUUGCCGUCGCAUCUCGCCGCCUACCGCUUCCACUACAAAACUCAUCUUAUCAUCAAUUUCAUCAUCCCAAAUCACAAACCAUUGUCAAACCAAUCAAGAAACCAUUUCAUUCCCAUCAAGAAUUUCCAAGUCAAUGUAAUCUAUGCUGGCGGAAACACACCUUACAGCCACACCCACCAUGUCAGACCACCACCAGUAGACACGUACACCACAAAUGCUCAAUGUGAUGGUGAUGAUUCAACAAAAUAGGGCCAAAACAUCAAUGUAUUUUCUGGGAUUUUACAUCCAAUGCGUGCGAAUAAGGGCUCUCAUAUCCAAUCCAACUAAUGUUUUUCCCAUUGUUCAAUCCACAAAUUCACCUACGAGAACUCAUAUUCAUACUCAAACGACUGUGGGUACACAAUUAAUUGAUCCAGUUGCUACUUAAUCGCCUCGUAAUUUGAUCCCUGAAGUAGCGAGUUGACUGCUCCGUCAAUUGCAAUUGGCAGCAAAAAUAUUGUUCUCCCAUCCAUUGUGAUUCACCGAUGGUCGAAACGGGCCUUUCCUUACUUGCUUUGUGAGAGCUAAAAUACUACUUGAUAGAUCUCUUUGAUUUGGAAGGGAUGAUGAAUACGGGGUGCGUUAAUUUAAGGUGGGGGUGUGAACAGUACUUUUUAUUUUUUGGGGGUGGGGGUGGACUAACUUUUCUCUUUUUAUUAAUCUAUGUUUUGUUUUGUUUUUAUUUCAAAGUUACCAUUCUACCACCUUAAAAAUUGAUCAAAAUCAAUUUCUUGAGUCAACUAACAAUUAAAUUAACAGAAAUCAUCCAUUUGAACUUCAGGUGCGAGUUUUUCAAAGAUUUGGUACUCACGAUGGCAGAAACUAAAGAUUUGGACAAAGUCUGCUAAUAAACAAAAAGUUUAGUACUCCUGCUGCAAUUUUCCCUUAAUUUUUUUACAAAAGGGAGGCCAAACGGGGGCUAAAAUUUCACGCAAUAUGUAGAAAAUCUCGUUGUAACAUUCUGUCAAUAUAACAAUUUCGAUGAAUUUAGGGUCGUUGAUGAGAUUCAAACAUAAUUUGAAGUUGAAUGGGUAAUCGAGUUUCAUGACUCAAUUGAGACUUGGCCGAAAUUUCGUUGUUCGCAUAAUAAAAUGGACCCAUUAUGUUUCUGACACUAAAAAAGACAACUACUGACCAUAAUGGCCCAAAAGCCCAAAUAUGUUGAUGCCAAAUCCAACCGACACUAACCCUGAAGCUAAUCCACUCCAAUUAUAAUAAUGUUAUACAGACCACUGAAAUUAUAAUUUUGAUUUAUAUGUUGACUCAAUUAUCAUUUAAUGUCUAGGAUUAGAGUUGUAACCAGUCAGCCGCCAACUAUGGCCACAACGAAAGUUACUCGUGUAAUGCUAAAUUCCGGCCAAAUGAUACCGACAAUAGGCUUCGGUACCUCAGCACUACCUUUGCCACCGCCUGAACAACUAACAUCCAUAUUCAUCGAAGCCAUCGAGGCCGGCUACCGCCACUUUGACACGGCAGCAUCCUAUGGCACGGAGGAGU
rnacentral:lncRNA from 1 species